rnacentral:rRNA from 1 species
UACGUAGGGUGCGAGCGUUGUCCGGAAUUAUUGGGCGUAAAGGGCUCGUAGGCGGUUUGUCACGUCAGGAGUGAAAACUCGGGGCUCAACCCCGAGCCUGCUUCUGAUACGGGCAGACUAGAGGUAUGCAGGGGAGAACGGAAUUCCUGGUGUAGCGGUGAAAUGCGCAGAUAUCAGGAGGAACACCGGUGGCGAAGGCGGCACUCUGGGCCGGUACUGACGCUGAGGAGCGAAAGCGUGGGGAGCAAACAGG